AUAAUUAAUAGUAUGAUUCCACUAGUUUCGUUUCUAUUUUUAGAUAUUCUCUAACCCUUAACCAAUCGCUACAUACAUUCGUUCUUGUUUCUCGAUUUUUUUCUUUUGUGAUUUUUGUAUAAUGGAUACAGGUUUGAACUCUUCUUCUUACUUGAAGGCACAGGCUCGAUGUCCUAUUCAAAGAUCCUUUCUCCGCAAGGACACGUCGAAAGAAAUCUUGACAGAUUUAUACCAAAUAGAUCAGCCAUGGAUUUGGACUUUGAAUAGACGAAACGGGAAAGAUCAUGCAACAAAGGAACAAACCUUAAGCCCUAGUGGGAACUCUUAACAGCCAUCACUCUGUUUCUUUACCAACAGCCUUGGAUGUACCUGACUUGGCGGAUGACUUUUACCUCAACUUACUUGACUGGGGCAGUGAUAAUGUUUUAGCCAUAGCAUUGCAUCAUACUACUGAGCUUGUGAUAGUUGAUGAAGAUAAGGGACCUGUCACAAGUAUCAACUGGGCACAAGAUGGUCGUUAUCUUGCAGUUGGGCGUAACAGCUCUAAAGUCCAGAUUUGGGUUGUGCAUUUGUGCUGAUAGUCGUAGAGUGAGAACGUUGGAGUGUGGUCACGACUCACGAGUCUAGAGUAGGAUCAUUGGCAUGGAACGAUCAUAUCUUGACAACGGGAGGAAUGGAUGGGAAGAUCAUCAACAAUGAUGUACGGGUUAGUUCACACGUUGUGAAAGCUUACAAGGGUCACACUUUAGAAGUUUGUGGGUUGAAGUGGCCAGGAUCUGGACAGCAUUUAGCAAGUGGUGGCAACGACAAUGUGGUUAAUAUAUGGGACCGUUCUAGCUCUCUAUGGCUGCACAGGCUUGUAGAGCACACAUCUGCAGUUAAAGCUCUUGCUUGGUGCCCUUUCCAAACGAAUUUGCCUGCAACUGGUGGCGGUGAGAGAUGGGAGAAUAAAGUUCUGGAAUACUAGGACAGGAGCUUGCUUGAACACGGUAGAAACUGGCUCUCAAGUUUGUUUUUUGAUAUGAAGCAACAAGGAAAGAUAGUUGCUUAGCUCACAUGGGUUUACUCAGAACCAGCUUACACUUUGGAAGUACCCAUCUAUGGUGAAAAUGACUGAGCUCAAUGGUCACACAUCACAUGUUCUAUAUAGGGCCCAGAGUCCAAAUGGUUAUACUGUAGCUUCUGCAGCAGCAGACGAGAGACUGAUGUUUUGGAAUGUAUUUGGAGUACCAGAGGAUGCCAAAAAAAGCAGUACAUGCUGAGCCAUUUUCUCAUGUGAACCAUAUUCGCUGAAGUUGUUGUGAAGUCGUUGUCUAUUUGUAUCUUGCUACACAAGAGAAAUGUUUAUGCACAUUGUAUCAUGUCAAGUAGUUGUUUCUACCUGAAACGC